rnacentral:rRNA from 1 species
CUUUCAACAACGGAUCUCUUGGUUCUGGCAUCGAUGAAGAACGCAGCGAAAUGCGAUAAGUAAUGUGAAUUGCAGAAUUUAGUGAAUCAUCGAAUCUUUGAACGCACAUUGCGCCCCCUGGCAUUCCGGGAGGCAUGCCUAUUCGAGCGUU